rnacentral:tRNA from 1 species
GGGCUUGUGGCUCAGCUAGGUAGAGCAAUCGGCUCUUAACCGAUGGGUCAGGGGUUCGAAUCCCCUCAAGCCCG